rnacentral:rRNA from 1 species
CACGUGGGUGAUCUGCCCUGCACUUUGGGAUAAGCCUGGGAAACUGGGUCUAAUACCGAAUAGGACCAUGCGAUGCAUGUCGUGUGGUGGAAAGCUUUUGCGGUGUGGGAUGGGCCCGCGGCCUAUCAGCUUGUUGGUGGGGUGAUGGCCUACCAAGGCGACGACGGGUAGCCGGCCUGAGAGGGUGUCCGGCCACACUGGGACUGAGAUACGGCCCAGACUCCUACGGGAGGCAGCAGUGGGGAAUAUUGCACAAUGGGCGCAAGCCUGAUGCAGCGACGCCGCGUGGGGGAUGACGGC